GUUCAGCUGGCUACCCUUUACCAGGGCAUCAGAUCUCUUUGUUUCAGCUUCACCAACCAUGUUCUCUGUCACCCUGAUGCUGCUGCUGUUAGCAGCUGGAUCAGGUGUUCGAUCUGAGACACUGAGACAGCCAGCCUCUGUGUCUGUGCUGCCUGGUGAACGACUGCAGAUCACCUGUCAUGUCUCUUAUUCUGUUAGCACAUAUGUAACAGCCUGGAUCAGACAGCCUGCAGGAAAAGGACUGGAGUGGAUUAGUAGUGACACAACUAUUAAAGAUUCAUUAACCAACAAGUUCAGUGCAAAUCUAGAUUAUUCAAACAACAUAGUGACUCUGAAUGGAGAGAAUAUGCAGCCGGAGGACUCUGCUGUGUAUUACUGUGCCAGAGAUCCACAGUGACACAAAUCAGCAGCAGACAUGAACA